CCGCUCGAAGAGGAGGAGAUCAUCUGCUACAUGCUGCGCGGCCUCGGCUCCGAAUAUGAUCCUCUAGUGAUAAGCAUCACAACGUGCCCUGACCCCGUCACGAUUUGUGACGUCUAUGUGCACAUGCUGAACUUCGAGC